UUUUACACCAAAUCCAUCAGUUUGGCACAUACCAACAAUACCUCAAAAUGUCGAAGUUAAUCGUAUUCCUCGUUAUCGCAAGUGUAUACAUUCAAUUGUGUGCAGGCGGCAACUCUUCUGACGGUGGAAAGCCAUUGAUCGAAGCGCUUGUCAACCUGUGAAUCACGGAAAUACUGAGAAUACCAACGCAGAUCCAAUAUUUCCUCUACCAUUAUUUGAAUAUGGAUCUGACAUCAAAUCUGGGACAAGGAUUACACGCUCGUUUUAACCAUGCUGGAAAUUUCUUCGGUUUAUCUAUUUAUUGACUUAUUUUUUAUUCAACUUUAUUGAAGAUGAUGUGUAUGAGUUAUUUGCUGCAAAGAGCAGCAAUUACUUCUACCCUCACCUUUCAGCCCUUACGGGGGUCAGUCUCAGCAAAAAUUGUGACAUUUUUUUUUUUUUUUUCAAUUAUUAACAUUAAAAAUUAUGUGAAUAAACACUUGUCACCAAUUA